GCUAGACUAGAGAAACUGGUUUGCUUAAUCUAGUAUUUACUGAAUUUAUAAGACCACUGAACAUUCUUUGUGAAUCUGUAUGACAUCUGUAAAUGUCCCAAAGAACAAAAUUUCCAUGCAUUUUAUUGUAUAAUUUAAAUGCAUCAUUUGAAUGCCUAGUAGUAUAAUUUAGUUCAUAGCCUGUAGUGUGAAACCAUUGCUUCUUAAGUUAUCUUUUUUGGUUGUCUUUUUACUUUUUUUCGUUGUUGUCUUUUUACAAUCUUAAUAAGAGCCCUUCCAAGGUAAUUAAACUGGGAUUCUGAAGCAGAUGGAUCUCUGGAAGCCAGAUGGACUGACCAUUUGAACCAGGGAAUACCUGAAGCACCAGGAAGACCAAAUGAUUACAGAGUUGGAAUUUUCAUCCCCACUCACAGACCUCCAGGAUGAGAAGAGAAGGAAGAGAAAUGUAUAGACUAUUUACAAUUUCAUGCUACCAAGAAGGCUGACUUCCAAAUUACCAAAGUCAAAGUCAUUGAUUUUUCUAAGAAAUGUCCAGAGAGAUUGACUGUAUAAGCAACUGUAAGUGGCCCGCCCCGUUGUUUAACCAUUGUUAUAAUUAAGAAGAUGGUUUGCUUGCUUUCUUUUAAAGUAACACAUGUGUAUGUUAAGGGACUGUAGCCACUGGGAAAACACACUCUGUUUUUCUACAUCCUCACACAACGCUUCUGACACCAGAUGUGUGGGGGUUUUCCACACCAGGCAAUUCUUCAACUCUCCAAACACCAGUUGGGUAUUCUGCAAUUUAAUUAGAUUCUGACACUAUCUGGAGUCAGCUCAAUCUCACAAGACUGCCCCACUUGCCAAUCACAAGUCCAGGCCUCUGAUAUUUCUGAUUGACCAACUAUAAAUCCAAGGUACCCAGGACCCCCUCCUCAUGUUCAAUAAUUUGCCACAAUGUCUCACAGAACUGAGGGAAGCACUUUACUUAUGUUUACUGGUUUAUUACAAAGAAUACAACUUAGGAAAAACUAAGUCAGGGGAUGCAUUGGGCAAGAUAUGGAGGUGGGACUCGGAGCUUCCAGCCCUUUCAGGGUGCCUCCUCCCAGCACCUUCACAUGCUCAGCCACCCAGAAGCUUAUCAAAUCUCUUUGUUCAAGAGUUUUUAUAGAGCUUAAUCUCUAGCCAUCCCCAGUUCCCCA
rnacentral:lncRNA from 1 species